AAGACGCCGACGCUGCCACCGCCUCUGCCCCAGCCCUCACCGUCCACUGCCGCGUGCACGCAGCCCAGACGACACACCGCCGGCGCCAUCUCCUCCUCCCCCGAUCUACAGUUGUUGAAGCCACAAGAAUUCACUUGGUAGAUGAUUACUUUAUGACUGAAGUUGAAAAGGUUGAUGAAAUUGAAGUUUCAAAGUCUGUUUGCUGACUGGCUCUACCAAAGGGAAAAAAACUGUGAAAAAGGUAUUGAGUAUUGCUAUGAACCUGAGAUGGAGGAGAUAGGUUCUUCACUGCUGUUGAAGUUAUUCGAAAAAGAUUAAGCUCGUUUGUUGAAGCGUCGAAUAAAUGAAGAGUCGAGAGUUGUUGACCCAAUAUUGUAUAGUAUUCUGAUUACUAUCAUAAACUUGUAUUGUAUUGAAAUUAUUACUGGGUUUACAAUUGAUAUUUGCAAGUGGAUAAUAUGCAAUUUAAAUUAAAUUUACAGAGCAGUGAUUUUUUUUUUAUUUU